CCGUCGAUAUCUCAGUUGGUAGAGCGGAGGACUGUAGAGUUGCAGUAAUCCUUAGGUCGCUGGUACGAAUCCGGUUCGACGGA
rfam:Angiostrongylus costaricensis strain Costa Rica genome assembly, scaffold: ACOC_contig0001369